rnacentral:rRNA from 1 species
UGAGUACGAGAUGCUACGGCAUCGAAGCAGUCUAUGUCAUACUUCCAAGAAAAGCUUGCAAUGUCAUAAACAAAUAAUGCCUGUACCAUAACCGACACAGGUGGGUAGGUAGAGUAUACUAAGGGGCGCGAGAUAACUCUCUCUAAGGAACUCGGCAAAAUGACUCCGUAACUUCGGGAGAAGGAGUGCCUUAUUUUUAUAAGGUUGCAAUAACAAGAUCCAAGCAACUGUUUACCAAAAACACAGGUCUCCGCUAAGUCGUAAGACGAUGUAUGGGGGCUGACGCCUGCCCAGUGCCAGAAGGUUAAAGAAGUUGGUUAGCAUUAGCGAAGCUGAUUACUGAAGCCCUGGUGAACGGCGGCCGUAACGAUAACGGUCCUAAGGUAGCGAAAUUCCUUGUCGGGUAAGUUCCGACCCGCACGAAAGGCGUAAUGAUUUGGAUACUGUCUCGGAGAGGGGCUCGGUGAAAUAGACUUGUCUGUGAAGAUGCGGACUACCUGCACCUGGACAAAAGACCCUAUGAAGCAUUACUGUAACUUGAGAUUGAAAUUGGACUUUAUCUGCGCAGUAUAGGUGGGAGACGUUGAAAAUAUUCUUGCGGGAAUAUUGGAGUCAUCAGUGAGAUACCGCUCUUAUAAUGUUAGAUUUCUAACUUUGUAUCAUUAUCUGGUCAAAGAACAGUUUCAGGCGGGCAGUUUGACUGGGGCGGUCGCCUCCCAAACGGUAACGGAGGCGCACAAAGGUUUCCUCUGAACGUGUAGAAAUCGUAUCUAGAGUGUAAAGGCAUAAGGAAGCUUGACUGUGAGACCUACAAGUCGAGCAGGGACGAAAGUCGGUCUUAGUGAUCUGACGGUGCUGAGUGGAAAGGCCGUCACUCAACGGAUAAAAGUUACUCUAGGAUAACAGGCUGAUCUCCCCCAAGAGUUCACAUCGACGGGGAGGUUUGGCACCUGAUGUCGGCUCAUCGCAUCCUGGGGCGGUAGUACGUCCCAAGGGUUGGGCUGUUCGCCCAUGAAAGCGGUACGCGAGCUGGGUUCAGAACGUCGUGAGACAGUUCGGUCCAUAUCCGGUGUAGGCGUUAGAAUAUUGAGAGGAGCCUUCUUUAGUACGAGAGGACCGAGAAGGACAUACCUCUGGUGUACCAGUUAUCGUGCCAACGGUAAACGCUGGGUAGCCAUGUAUGGAGAGGAUAACCGCUGAAAGCAUCUAAGUGGGAAGCCCACCUCAAGAUAAGUAUUCUU